rnacentral:rRNA from 1 species
GGGCUCACACAAGCGGUGGACAUGUGGCUUAAUUCGAGGAUACGCGAAGAACCUUAUCCUGGUCUUGACAUGUUUAGGAACCUCGGUGAAAGUCGAGGGUGCCCUUCGGGGAGCCUUUACACAGGUGCUGCAUGGCCGUCGUCAGCUCGUGUCGUGAGAUGUCGGUUAAGUCCCGUAACGAGCGCAACCCACAUCCCUAGUUGCCAGCACGUAAUGGUGGGAACUCUAAGGAGACCGCCGGUGACAAACCGGAGGAAGGUGGGGAUGACGUCAAGUCAUCAUGGCCCUUACAGGCAGGGCUACACACGUGCUACAAUGGCGAGUACAGAGGGUUGCCAACCAGCAAUGGGGAGCCAA